rnacentral:rRNA from 1 species
GAGCCUGAGAAACGGCUACCACAUCCAAGGAUGGCAGCAGGCGCGCAAAUUACCCAAUCCCGACACGGGGAGGUAGUGGCAAUAAAUAACAAUACGGGGUUCUUUAGGAUCUCGUAAUUGGAAUGAGUACAAUUUAAAUCUCUUAACGAGGAACAAUUGGAGGGCAAGUCUGGUGCCAGCAGCCGCGGUAAUUCCAGCUCCAAUAGCGUAUAUUAAAGUUGUUGCAGUUAAAAAGCUCGUAGUUGAAUUUCGGGGUUAGUAGGUUGGUCAUGCCUCUGGUAUGUACUGGUCUCACUGAUUCCUCCUUCCUUAUGAACCGUAAUGCCAUUAAUUUGGUGUUGCGGGGAAUUUGGACUGUUACUUUGAAAAAAUUAGAGUGUUUAAAGCAAGCUAACGCUUGAAUACAUUAGCAUGGAAUAAUGAAAUAGGACGUUCGAUCUUAUUUUGUUGGUUUCUAGGAUUGACGUAAUGAUUAAUAGGGAUAGUUGGGGGCAUUAGUAUUCAAUUGUCAGAGGUGAAAUUCUUGGAUUUAUUGAAGACUAACUACUGCGAAAGCAUUUGCCAAGGAUGUUUUCAUUAAUCAAGAACGAAAGUUAGGGGAUCGAAGACGAUCAGAUACCGUCGUAGUCUUAACCAUAAACUAUGCCGACUAGGGAUCGGAUGAUGUUAAUUUUUUAAUGACUCAUUCGGCGCCUUACGGGAAAC